GAAAUGCGAUAAGUAAUGUGAAUUGCAGAAUUCCGUGAAUCAUCGAAUCUUUGAACGCACAUUGCGCCCUCUGGUAUUCCGGGGGGCAUGCCUGUCCGAGCGUCAUUGCGAACCCCUCAAGCACGGCUUGUGUGAUGGGCCCUCCCGCGUCUUGGUCGUCAAGACGGGCCCGAAAUGCAGUGGCAGCUUCGCGGUUAUCCGAUCAGCCAGAGCGUAUGGGGACUUUCUCUCUGUCACACGCCCGCGGCGCGGACCGACGCCUGUCGACCUUUAUUCAUCUUUUUCUCGGUUGACCUCGGAUCAGGUAGGGAUACCCGCUGAACUUAAGC
rnacentral:misc_RNA from 1 species